UACGUAGGUGGCAAGCGUUGUCCGGAUUUAUUGGGUUUAAAGGGUGCGUAGGCGGUCCUAUAAGUCAGUGGUGAAAUACUCUAGCUUAACUAGAGGGGUGCCAAUGAUACUGUAGGACUUGAGUACAGAUGAGGUAGGCGGAAUUGACGGUGUAGCGGUGAAAUGCAUAGAUAUCGUCAAGAACACCUAUAGCGAAGGCAGCUUACUGGGCUGUAACUGACGCUGAGGAGCGAAAGCGUGGGGAGCGAACAGG
rnacentral:rRNA from 1 species